GAUUGUUAUUAUUUUUUUAUAAGUCUAAAAUUUUUUAUAAGAUUGUUAGGAUUGUAUGUGAAUUAUUGUAAAUUUUAUUUGAUUGUUAGAAUUGUAUCAUUAGGUUGUUAUGAUUAUAUAUGAUUUUUUUAAACUUAUAUAUAAUUAUUAGGAUUAUAUAUAUUAUUUUUAUUAAAAGAAAAACAUAAAUGAUUCACCGUCUUUUAAAUUUUAUUAAAAAUAAUAAAUAAUUAAUAGUUUUUUAAUUAUUUUUUAUCUCACUAAGUUAAAUAAAAUAGAGUUAUCUAGCGAAAUAAAAUUUUCAACCCAAAAGCGCUUUUCAACCCAAAAGUGCUUUUCAAAAGCUUGCCCAAACACUCCCAUAAUGAGAUGGCAUGACCCAAUUGUUAUAUUUUACUUUUCUAUACAUGUUUGUAGAGAGAGGCUGGUACGCUUCUAAAAGUAAGGAGCUCUUCAUACAUUCAAGUUGCUUUCGAUGUUGAGACUUUCAAAUCGAUGAUCAAUUCCGUUAAAUUUGAUUUAGAGUAUUUGAAGUAUCUAAAAAAAUAAAUUUCGUGAUUUUUCGAUAUUAUUUGCCUACUCAAAAUCAAUAAUUUUAAUAGUCAUGGUGAACUGUUUGCAAGUUUAACGGUGUAUAAAUAUCCAAAUUAAGUGAAAUUUUGAUUAAAAAAAAAUUAUACUAUAUAAAACAAGUUCAAUAUUUUUGAUUUAAAAUUUUAUUGUCAUAUCAUAAUAUUUUAUAAGAUUUUUAUUUUCAGCCAUUGAUUUUGAGCCCUUUCAAUCACUAGAUAAAUGAUUCGAAAGUCUAGAUUUGGAUAAAUGAUUUUGAGCCGUUGAUUUUGUGAAAUUUAUUUUUUAGCUAUUUUAAAUACUCUAUAUUAAAUUUAACAGAGCCGAUCGUAUAUUUAAAAAUACUAAUAUCGAAAACGACUUGAAAGUACAAAAAUCUCCGUACUUUUAGAAACAUACCAGCAUCACUCCAUGUUUGCAGUGGUUUAGAGUUAGGAUAAA
rnacentral:lncRNA from 1 species